rnacentral:rRNA from 1 species
GAGCUAAAGGUGGAUUUCUUGGAAAUGGCAGGCUAUGAAGGACGUGCUAAUCUGCGAUAAGCUAGGGGUAGUCGAUAAGGGACUCUUAUCCCUAGAUCUCCGAAUGUAGAAAUAUGAUAUUUCGAAAGAUUUAUCAUUCAACAGCCAAUACAUAACUGUUGAAAGCGAACCUCGCGAAGUGAAACAUCUCAGUAGCGAGAGGAAAAGAAAACGAAUGUGAUUCCCUAAGUAGUGGUGAGCGAAAGGGGAGUAGGCCAAACCUGCUUCGGCAGGGGUUGUAGGACACUCUUUUAACUCUAAAUUUAUAGGAGAAGUUUUUGGAAAAAAACGGCGUAGAGGGCGAACCCCCCGUAUCCGAAAUGAAUUUAGAGCUUGAGUGUAUCCUGAGUAGGGCGGGACACGUGUAAUCCUGUCUGAAUCUGCCCAGACCAUUGG